UGGGGAAUUUUGGACAAUGGGCGAAAGCCUGAUCCAGCAAUGCCGCGUGUGUGAAGAAGGCCUUCGGGUUGUAAAGCACUUUUGUCCGGAAAGAAAUCCUUGGCUCUAAUACAGUCGGGGGAUGACGGUACCGGAAGAAUAAGCACCGGCUAACUACGUGCCAGCAGCCGCGGUAAUACGUAGGGUGCAAGCGUUAAUCGGAAUUACUGGGCGUAAAGCGUGCGCAGGCGGUUUGCUAAGACCGAUGUGAAAUCCCCGGGCUCAACCUGGGAACUGCAUUGGUGACUGGCAGGCUAGAGUAUGGCAGAGGGGGGUAGAACUCCACGUGUAGCAGUGAAAUGCGUAGAGAUGUGGAGGAAUACCGAUGGCGAAGGCAGCCCCCUGGGCCAAUACUGACGCUCAUGCACGAAAGCGUGGGGAGCAAACAGGAUUAGAUACCCUGGUAGUCCACGCCCUAAACGAUGUCAACUAGUUGUUGGGGAUUCAUUUCCUUAGUAACGUAGCUAACGCGUGAAGUUGACCGCCUGGGGAGUACGGUCGCAAGAUUAAAACUC
rnacentral:rRNA from 1 species